GACGAACGCUGGCGGCGUGCCUAAUACAUGCAAGUCGAACGCUUCUUUUUCCACCGGAGCUUGCUCCACCGGAAAAAGAGGAGUGGCGAACGGGUGAGUAACACGUGGGUAACCUGCCCAUCAGAAGGGGAUAACACUUGGAAACAGGUGCUAAUACCGUAUAACAAUCGAAACCGCAUGGUUUUGAUUUGAAAGGCGCUUUCGGGUGUCGCUGAUGGAUGGACCCGCGGUGCAUUAGCUAGUUGGUGAGGUAAUGGCCUACCAAGGCUACGACGGGUAGCUGGUCUGAGAGGAUGAUCAGCCACACUGGGACUGAGACACGGCCCAGACUCCUACGGGAGGCAGCAGUAGGGAAUCUUCGGCAAUGGACGAAAGUCUGACCGAGCAACGCCGCGUGAGUGAAGAAGGUUUUCGGAUCGUAAAACUCUGUUGUUAGAGAAGAACAAGGAUGAGAGUAACUGUUCAUCCCUUGACGGUAUCUAACCAGAAAGCCACGGCUAACUACGUGCCAGCAGCCGCAGUAAAAC
rnacentral:rRNA from 1 species